GAAGGCUCUUGGGUUGUAAACCCCUUUUCUACUGGGAAGAAAGUUGUGAAAGCAACCUGACGGUACCAGAGGAAUCAGCAUCGGCUAACUCCGUGCCAGCAGCCGCGGUAAGACGGAGGAUGCAAGCGUUAUCCGGAAUGAUUGGGCGUAAAGCGUCCGCAGGUGGCAGUUCAAGUCUGCUGUCAAAGACCGGGGCUUAACUUCGGAAAGGCAGUGGAAACUGAACAGCUAGAGUAUGGUAGGGGCAGAGGGAAUUCCUGGUGUAGCGGUGAAAUGCGUAAGAGAUCAGGAAGAACAUCGGUGGCGAAGGCGCUCUGCUGGACCAUAACUGACACUCAGGGACGAAAGCUAGGGGAGCGAAUGGGAUGUCGACGCGGCCGCGGCCGCGUCGACGGAGGUGGGAGUGCAGUGACAACCAGGAGGUUUGCCUAGAAGCAGCCACCCUUAAAAGAGUGCGUAAUAGCUCACUGGUCUAGCGCUCCUGCGCCGAAAAUGAACGGGGCUAAGCAGUCUACCGAAGUCG
rnacentral:rRNA from 1 species